rnacentral:rRNA from 1 species
AGUCACUGACAUUAGAUACCCCUGUAGUCCCAGCCGUAAACUAUGUGCGUUAGGUGUGUCGGUAACCACGCGUUACUGAUGCGCCGAAGAGAAAUCGUGAAACGCACCACCUGGGAAGUACGGUCGCAAGGCUGAAACUUAAAGGAAUUGGCGGGGAGCACCACAACAGGUGGAGCCUGCGGUUUAAUUGGAUUCAACGCCGGACAUCUCACCGGAUAAGACAGCUGAAUGAUUGUCAAUCUGAAGGUUUUACAUGACUAGCUG